UAGGUAGGGAUGAGAAUAUACAUUUAAUGAUCACUCCCUUGGGCGAUGUGGGAUGUUACAAUCCACUCUCCCUAGGGGACCGACGUCCUCGUCAGCACACUUUCGGCAAGGGAUUGGCUCUGAUACCAUUUGUCACAUCUCAGCUUGGGAUGUGGUGGACCCGGACCGGGAUGUGAUAGUUUUGAUACAAUAAAUUUUUUGGUUAAUUUUGAUGAAUGUACCCAUGUUUACACACACACACACACACACACAUACACAAUAGUAUUUUUAUAUUUUUAAUAUUUUUAAUCCCACAAAUUAUUAUUUUUAUUUAAAAUCUCAUUUAUAUAAACAACUAAAAUUUCUAAUUUAUAAUUUAAAAAAUAUAGUAACGUACAAAGAAAUAAAUUAUCACAUUAAUUUCAGGGACCUCGAUCAAAAAUUAAAAACCAACAAGGUUUCAAUCAAAGAAUAUUCAUAACUAAGGACCGCAUCCAAAGUCUCCAUUUUUUUAAUUCAUUGAUAUCUUUACACAAAGAGGUGAGGGAAAUAAAUUGGUUAUAAAUUCGCCAUAAAUUUGUAGGAAGAGAUGAUAGCUAUAAAGAAUGAGACAACGCUUCUAAAUAGGACUAGGACAAUGACAUAUGAUAAAAUUUUGUUCGGAAGUUCUUGGCACAAGUUAGGGCGCAUCAAGGGAUGUGGUUAUGGUUCCCAAUCAUCAAAAUCUAACUCUUCGGCGAAUUUGUGCCCUAGUUGAACAAAUAAUUAGAAGAACAUUAUAAAGUUGAUUGUUGAGACUCAAAAAGAAGAGCUUGGUGCACAAAUUAUCCUAGUGUUGAAGGAGAAGCAAAAGGAUUAAGGAACUCUUGCACAAAAUUAUGCUAAUGCAGCGACCAUUCCAUAUUUAUUCUUUUUAUUUUAGUGUGUUGUGGUCUAUUUUAUCUGACAGAUGGACUAGGGCCGGCGGCAGAGAGAGAGAGGAGAGAGAUGUGUGUUUGUAGAAUUGUAGGGGAAUGUGUGUGUUGUUAUCCCUCCUACAUUGUGCCUUUAUUUAUAGUAGUAAAAGGAGAGAAGAUAUUCCUUCUUCUCCAAGUAAUACAAGUUGCAAUAGGAAAGGAUAACU
rnacentral:lncRNA from 1 species